rnacentral:rRNA from 1 species
UACGUAGGUGGCAAGCGUUAUCCGGAAUUAUUGGGCGUAAAGAGCGCGCAGGUGGUUGAUUAAGUCUGAUGUGAAAGCCCACGGCUUAGCCGUGGAGGGUCAUUGGAAACUGGUCGACUUGAGUGCAGAAGAGGGAAGUGGAAUUCCAUGUGUAGCGGUGAAAUGCGUAGAGAUAUGGAGGAACACCAGUGGCGAAGGCGGCUUCCUGGUCUGUAACUGACACUGAGGCGCGAAAGCGUGGGGAGCAAACAGGAUUAGAUA